rnacentral:rRNA from 1 species
UACGUAGGGUGCGAGCGUUGCCCGGAUUUAUUGGGCGUAAAGAGCUCGUAGGCGGCCAGUUGCGUCUGCUGUGAAAUCCCGGGGCUCAACCCCGGGCGUGCAGUGGAUACGGGCUGGCUAGAGGCAGGCAGGGGAGAACGGAAUUCCCGGUGUAGCGGUGAAAUGCGCAGAUAUCGGGAGGAACACCGGUGGCGAAGGCGGUUCUCUGGGCCUGUACUGACGCUGAGGAGCGAAAGCGUGGGGAGCGAACAGG